rnacentral:rRNA from 1 species
AGUGUAGUUAAUAGCUGCAUUAUUUGACGUUAGCGACAGAAGAAGCACCGGCUAACUCCGUGCCAGCAGCCGCGGUAAUACGGAGGGUGCGAGCGUUAAUCGGAAUUACUGGGCGUAAAGCGCAUGCAGGUGGUUUGUUAAGUCAGAUGUGAAAGCCCGGGGCUCAACCUCGGAAUUGCAUUUGAAACUGGCAGACUAGAGUACUGUAGAGGGGGGUAGAAUUUCAGGUGUAGCGGUGAAAUGCGUAGAGAUCUGAAGGAAUACCGGUGGCGAAGGCGGCCCCCUGGACAGAUACUGACACUCAGAUGCGAAAGCGUGGGGAGCAAACAGGAUUAGAUACCCUGGUAGUCCACGCCGUAAACGAUGUCUACUUGGAGGUUGUGGCCUUGAGCCGUGGCUUUCGGAGCUAACGCGUUAAGUAGCCUGAUGCAGCCAUGCCGCGUGUAUGAAGAACC